rnacentral:rRNA from 1 species
AGAAAUUUACGCUAAUACCGCAUACGAUCUAAGGAUGAAAGCGGGGGAUUCGCAAGAACCUCGCGCGAUUGGAGCGGCUGAUAUCAGAUUAGGUUGUUGGUGAGGUAAAGGCUCACCAAGCCGACGAUCUGUAGCUGGUCUGAGAGGACGACCAGCCACACUGGGACUGAGACACGGCCCAGACUCCUACGGGAGGCAGCAGUGGGAAUUUUGGACAAUGGGCACAAGCCUGAUCCAGCAAUGCCGCGUGCAGGAUGAAGGCCUUCGGGUUGUAAACUGCUUUGUACGGAACGAAACGGUGAGCUCUAAUACAGUUUGCUAAUGACGGUACCGUAAGAAUAAGCACCGGCUAACUACGUG